rnacentral:rRNA from 1 species
UCGGGUUGUAAAGCACUUUUGUCCGGAAAGAAAACUUCUGCCCUAAUACGGCGGGAGGAUGACGGUACCGGAAGAAUAAGCACCGGCUAACUACGUGCCAGCAGCCGCGGUAAUACGUAGGGUGCGAGCGUUAAUCGGAAUUACUGGGCGUAAAGCGUGCGCAGGCGGUUCGUUAAGACAGAUGUGAAAUCCCCGGGCUUAACCUGGAACUGCAUUUGUGACUGGCGAGCUAGAGUAUGGCAGAGGGGGGUAGAAUUUCCACGUGUAGCAGUGAAAUGCGUAGAGAUGUGGAGGAAUACCGAUGGCGAAGGCAGCCCCUGGGCCAAUACUGACGCUCAUGCACGAAAGCGUGGGGAGCAAACAGGAUUAGAUACCCUGGUAGUCCACGCCCUAAACGAUGUCAACUAGUUGUUGGGUCUUCAUUGACUUAGUAACGUAGCUAACGCGUGAAGUUGACCGCCUGGGGAGUACGGUCGCAAGAUUAAAACUCAAAGGAAUUGACAGGGACCCGCACAAGCGGUGGAUGAUGUGGAUUAAUUCGAUGCAACGCGAAAAACCUUACCUACCCUUGACAUGGUCGGAACCCUGCUG